CUAACCACAUGUAGAAGAGCAGAGACAUAAAUGCUUGAAGGUGCAUUUCCCUUAUUUGCUUCAGCUAUUACAUCUCCAUAACUGUAUCCUUCAUUUUUAAACAUCAUCUCUGACGAUACAAGCAUCUGCGAUGAAUGCUGCUGAGAGAGCGUUGAUUCUGAGGUCUUCUUCCUCUUUGAAAAUCCUGCCUUAGAAUCAAUAUCUUGGAGUGACGGAAUCAAAUUUAGCAUAUCUGAAAC
rnacentral:misc_RNA from 1 species